GCAAAAGAGUUAUGCUGAUACCAGAAGAAGAGAAUUGGCAUUCGAGAUAGGCGACUAUGUGUAUUUGAAGGUGUCACCUAUGAGAAGUGUCAGGAGGUUUAAUAUGAAGGGAAAAUUGGCACCGAGGUACGUUGGACCGUUUAGAAUUCUUAGGAGACGUGGAGAAGUGGCCUAUCAGUUAGAGUUGCCUGCGAGUAUGUCGGGUAUUCAUGAUGUGUUCCAUGUGUCGCAACUGAAGAAAUGUUUGCGAGUGCCUGAGGAACAAAUUCCAUUGGAGGAACUCACAGUUGAAGGAGAUCUAACUUAUGAGGAAUAUCCAAUCAAGAUCUUAGAAACGGCGGAAAGAGUCACCCGGAGUCGGGUUAUAAAGAUGUGCAAAGUGCAGUGGCACCGAUAUAAAGAAGAAGAAGCCACUUGGGAAAGAGAAGAUGAGUUGAGACAAUCUUAUCCGUAUCUCUUUGAGUAAGCACCGUCUCAAUCUCGAGGACGAGAUUAUUUUUUAAGGGGGGUAGAAUUGUAACACCCAAAAAUUUGAUUUAUUUCAAAUAGAUGAAUUAAAUUUAAAUGAAUUUAUUUUGUGAGCAUUUUACAUAUAGGAAAAUAAAUAAAUUUGGAGAAAUUAAAAUUUAAUGUGAGCUUAGAGAAACAUUUAUGUUGCAUUCAUGCUGGAGCAUUUCUUUUGUGAUGAUUGUUUUAAAAACCAGAAUAUCUUGCUCAAGAAAAUAUUUGAAGAAAAGAAAUUCAUUUGGAAAUUGUGUAAAAAAAAAAAAGAAAAUCCUUUCCCUCUCUCCCCCCUUCCUCUUUUCGGCCUGGUAGCCCAGCAACCCACCCCGCGCGCCCCAUCUCCUUCUUGGGCCGGCCCAGCCGCCUCCCCCUCCCUUCCCUCUCUCUCUCUCACCCGCUGACAGGCCGGGCCCGCCUGUUAGCUCUCUCUUCCCCAACCGCCACCCCGCUCUUUUCUCUCUCCCGGUUGGAAAACCACCAAGCCGCGCCCCGCUCCCCCACGUUCCCUCCCCCGCGCCUCGGUUUCAGUUGGAGAACCCCCCCCCCUUGCGCCCGAGCCUUCUUUCUUCCCAUUCCCCCUCCUCGCCUCCGUUUUCCUCUCUCUUUCGCGCAAGGAAACUGUCGCCGAAGAAGCUAACGCCGCCGCGCGUCGUUCCUCCAUUUGGAGCCCCCUUCGCCGCGUUUCGUCGCUUUGGUGAGCCUCCUCUUCCCUCCCGCUCUCUCCCCAUCCAAUUCCCGAGCGAAUUGGGGCUUUCUAGCGCCCUGGCCAUGCUCGCCGGAGAGCUUCAUGGCCGCCGGCCAUGGAGCGGGCAGGGCGGGCUCUCCCCGGUCGCGCCGAGGCCGGGAGCGAGUUCCCCUCAUCCUCCUCUUUCUCUAGAAGCUUUCGGAUCGGAAAACCGCGGCCUGUAGCCCUCUCGCGAACUUCUCCGGCGACCUCCGCCUCGUCGGCCAUGGCAGCGCCGCCGCGCCCUCCUUCCCCUCCGGCCAGGCGCGCCGCCCCCUUCUCUCUCCCCUCCCCCCUUCUAAUCUUGGCCGUUCAUCAGGAGAUCGACGACCCUCAGCGCACCGUACCCCUUCGCGGGUCGGUUUUGCUAAAGAACCCCCCUGGAAUUUAAGUUUCGAGCCGCAGUCCUUAGCGCCUUCGAGUGAAAUACGCUUUCUCUGUUAGAAAACGUAUUAUCCGUCGGUUAGGUCAAAAUACGCUUUCGGGAAAUUACAGAAUUGCCACUGAACUUGUUUUGGUCAUAAAAUAUUCGUUAUAGCUCCGAUUUGACCCGUUCAAAUUGCGUUAGAUUCGUAAUUAAAUUCUCUACAUGAUAGUACCACUGUUUCUGUAUUUUGCCACUUUUUAUUUUCAGGGUUAGGUUUAAUUAAUUAAUUGCCUAUAGGAAAUCGCCGAAAAAGUCGUAACUUGGUCGUUUUAGCUCCGAUUUUCGUGAUCUUCGUAUCUAUGUGGUCGUAGCGAAUCGUAGGUUCUGUUUUUAAUUACUUUAUUUCAUUUUUUGAUCUGUUGGUGUACUGUUCUAAUUAAAUGAUUGUUUGCUUGUAUGAAUGAACCUGGAUGCGUGUUGUUGUGUGGUACCGAUCGAGCGCAGACGGUGACGUGUCCGCGAGUGAUCCAUUUUACUACGAGGAGCAGCAGGACCAGCAGCAGUUCCCCUUCACUGAAGGCAAGUAUAACAUGGGUUUCCCUUGUACACCUAUUCACUUAAUUAAUUACGCAUCUGCAUGUGUCUAAUUUGGUAACCCUAAGGACAUCCUAGCUACCUGACUAUAUUUAUGACACCUAUGGGUAGAAUGCAUGUGGGUAGCUUUGCUAGUGCUUUAAUUAAUUGAGAAUUUACUAUCACUCUGACUUUAAUGAAUAUGAUGAUAAAUGUUGGGAAAAAGGGCUAUGGUGCAAUUGACUUCGGUCGAGUUGACCUAGACCCUCCGUAAGGACUUCUCUGUAAGCGACAAUCCGGGACUUACAGUGCAACCGUGAUGGUUAUAUGGCUCUAACUUUAGCUUAGUAAUAGGAUCUCAUCUAGCUGGUUAGAGGUUACCCGAAAGGGCGCAAGAGGGGCUUGCCACUUCGGGUAUAGAACUGCUUCUGUUCUUAUGUGUAUAGCCGUGAUGGAAUUGUGCCAUAGGAAAGGGGGGUUCUCUAUAUCUGCCUGCCGAGGAAACCUCACGGCCCUAACUGGUUAGGCGUGGCCUAUGGAAGGCUUCAUAGUGUUCCCUGCCCGCUCACCUUGGUAGUGUUAGUGGGUCUUGCAAACCCCGGGCAAAUGGGUAACACGACUUACGGGAAAAGUGCACACCUCUGCGCAGAGUUUGAUCAAACUGGUAUACUAGCCGUGCUCUCGGACAUGAGCGGCUUUGGACCCUUACGGAAUAGUUGGGUGUGGAUGGUUAUGGGGAAUAUCUAAUGAAAAUCUGACGCAUUGAUCGUGAUGAUUAAUGUGGUUUAACCGUGAUGGUGAUAGUGUUAGCCGUGAAGGUUAACGGUGUUAUUAUCAUGUACUCAUUUGGGCUAAUUGGGAGCUUAAGCAUAAUUGAUAACUAAGUAGGAUUAGAAUAUUGACCAAUUAAAAUGCUAACUGCAGUAGCCAGUGUCUGACCUCUUUGAGCCGCAUAAUAUCCUAUGUUAUGCUUGCGGAGUACGAGAUGUACUCACGCUUGUCUUUAUCUUUCUUUUUGGACAAAAUCCCGGAUGGGUAGCAGAUGACAGCUUCUAUGAGGAAUUCCCUGAGGACUUCUAGGUUGGCGAUCCCCCAGUCGGUCGUCCCUGUGUUGGAGUUAUCUUUCAUAGCUAGUAUGAGUUUAUUUUCCGUUUGUCGCAGACUUUGAUAUAUAUAUGUGUUGUAAUAACGUUUUGUAAGACACUUGUUAUGAUACAUUUGUAAUUUGUCGACUUGUGUGCGCGACUAUUCCUGGGGCGCACAUGAGAUUAUUGUACUCAAAUUUAUCCUUAAAUUUGGGUGUGACAUGAAUGCAACAACAUGUUUCUAAAACUUAUGAUAAAUUUUAUUUUCCACAAAAUUAUUUAAGUGCUAAAUUUAAAUGCUCUCAAAAAUACUUAAUUAAUUCAAAUUAAAUCCUAUUAAUUGAAAUUCAAAUUUUGGGUGUUACAAAAACAUCCUUGGCAAUGUUAGCGAGGAAGCAGAGCGAAUUGAACUUGCCCUCGGUCUUGCGCUCGGGCACGUCUUCGCUAGAGGAAGAGUCGCAAUCGCCUGAGUCAAGCUCGAGGUCACUAAGGGAAGCAAGGAAGACACACUUUUGAGCCUUGGUGUUCUUGAUGUACUUCUUCUUAAGCAUGCCUUGCUCAUCCUCCUCCUUGGACCUAUGCUUGCUAGAUAUGUACUCGUGUUUGUCCUCCACUUGCCAGAGUCGUACUUGCCCUUCAUUUCAGGGUAGUUAGCAAUGAAGUGAUUGGGGUCUCCAAAACUGAAGCAGACCUCCUUUUACGCACCACACCAAUGGUUCUUGUAGUUGUCAUGGAACCGCUUGAACUUGUUGAUGACCAACGCAAGCUCAUCAUCACCAAGUGCCUCAACUUGCUUCAUGAUAGACAUAAAGAAGACUAAGCAAAGCAAAGUGAGGGGUUAGCAAAAGAUCCACCGAGACUGGACACAAGAACCAUGGUUCACACAUAUGGGUUCUCUAUUUUGGCUUUGGUUGGAGGUCAAUCUAGGUGGAUUUGAGCUUGCUGAACUGUAACACCCUACAAUUUGCUUUUUGGAAAUUAGAAUUUAAUUUAAUUUAUUUUACUUAGUUGCUUUCAAUUUAUAGGGAAACAUUAAUGAUUUAUAAAAUAUCAUAAAAAGAAAUAUAAGGUAGGAACCUUGAAUACUGCGGUUUCAUUACUCCACAAAAAAUUACAUUUAAAAAAAAGGAGAAACCUUUAUUUUUCUUCUUUUCCUUCUUUGCUUUCGGCCUACCUAGACUAGUAGCCUAGCCCAUAGCUGGCCUUUGCCGUCUCGUCCCCUGUGCACAGUUAGCCUAGCCACAAAAUGUAGUAGUCGCAGCCGUUGGCUAGUGGGGCUAGUGUUGUAAGUGUGCCCAGCCACCGCUAAGUGGGACCCAUGUGUCAGCGGGCCUACAUGCCAGACUCAAGCCUGAGUUGGGUUCUGCUGCCGCUCCGCUUUGAAUCCUAUGUGCACACAAACUAAGGAUGGCCACCCUAUUUAAGGGAUGAACCAAUGAUAAGACAAUGCCAAGGAAAUCAACAUUCACUGUUAGUCCUAAGCAUCACUACAAGGUGAAAGCUACACUUUAGUCUAAAUCCUUUUUGUUUCCACCUACACAACUAUUACUUGGUUUGUAUGAUCAUAGAUUCAAACAUCUUGCUGUGAUAGAAGAAUAUCAAGAUGUUAUCACAAUACUACAGGUUAGUGGUCAAUUCUUUGGAAUAGAAGAUUUAGAGUCAAGGGUGACUCCUUUUCAAGAUAGAGAGGAUGAUGUGAACAUCCCAACUCAUCAUGCUCUACCAUCAAGUGUCAACCAUUCAUCAUACAAUAUAGAAGAUAAAAUCAAGGAUCACUCACACAAAGUCAUGCCAAGAAACUACAAGAGAAAGUGAAUUCAUUCCUAACUAAAAUUGUCUAUGAUAUACUUGAGAAUGUUAUGCUACCUAAAUGCUAUACAUAUGUCUUGCUAAGGUUGAUAGAAGAAGGAGCUACCGCUGGAGCAUAUGAGAGGAGAUGUUUUACAUAGAAGCUGAACUACCAGACCACCUAGCUCACAGCAUGAACCCACAAAAAGAUGCAGCCACAACUAUUGAUUCCCUAAAGCUUUGGAGGUCCAUAAGAAAAGUUUGGAAAUAUUAUCAACACUUGUUUCUAAUGCAGCAAACCACAUGUCAUUAGGACUCCACAAUAACGAUUUAUGGCUAUAUUAUGAGAAACCGCCAAAAGACUAACAGUCACCCAAGAAUUGAUCUGAUGGAUAAAUUUUUGUGCAAACCUAUAUUACUAUGCAACAUUUCAUGGUGCAUGCUAUACAUGGUUGGAAAGAUAAUCAAGUUAACUUUCUAAUGCAACAAAAGUCUCAUCAUUACAUGAUGGAGUAAUGACCAUUUUAUUGAAGGCUGCACUAAAGCCUAGGAGAUGCAUGGGAAAUGAAGACCAUUUCAUGAAUGCUUCAAUCAGUUGGCCGUCCAUCUCCCAACAUAGUGAUUUUAGUUCAUCCCUAACUAUGAGGGUUGUUCCUAGUAUAUAUAUCACCUUUGUGCUACUAGAAAACAACCUUUUGAUCAUUUGAUAACCCUAUACGGUAUUGCAGUAGAGUUGCUGAGUGUCUUACACACCUUUGUUCAUGUGAGUUCUUCUUGGACUUGUGAGAGUCCUCUUUGAGGUCCCCUACUUCGUGCUCAAUGGUUUCCAGUUAAGCUGUACCAUUUUGUGUGGAUUAGUCCCCAUUUGUGGUUUUGCAAUCAUUUGGAGAUUGAGUCAAAGUCCUCAAGGUUUUGGUGUCUCUCCCCAUCGCUCGGUCAAAUCAAACCUUUGUUUGUUCUAAAGCUAGUUAUGCGUUGUUUCUAUAGUAAGUUAUCCUUUGUUCCAGAAAAGUGACUGUGGCUAGUGGUGGGAUCUAUGGACCAGCCAUGGACCACUACUAUGGACUACGUCCAUGGUCCACCAUGGACUGGUAAACUGACUGGUUCGGGCCAGUAUAAUCUGAGUCACUUGGCUCAGAUUUGACAGCCAGGAGCAGGAGAUCAGGGUUGCAAGGGCAGCGUGAGCCACGACAGGGCACCAUGGAUGGUGGCUGAGGCUAGGGCACACUGGUGGGUGGUGAAACGGUGCUAUAGGGGUCAAGGGUCUAUGCAGGCUUCUGUUGACACCUCUUACACCACUUAAGCUAGGUUGUCAUCCCAGCAUGAUGUAGAGAUGCUGGUAUUAAAUUUAUAUGCUUUUCUAGAAAAUAAAUAAGGGAUCUGGAAGCGCACAGAUAAUACCGAUGUAGCAUUUAACCGGGAGUAAUCUAGAUAUUGUUAUUUAUAUUUUUACCACUGGGAAGGGAAUGCAUUGGAUAAUGAGCAAUGAGCACUGCAUGUAGUCAUGGAGAACUUAACCAUGUCUUUAUCUAUACCUCAUGCAGGGUAAGUGUCACAUAAGAUAAAUAAUAUAAAUAUGAAUGAUAAGUGACAAAAGAUAAAUGAGAGCAUAUAGCCACAUAUAAAUAUGAUAAUCAUCUCAAUAGAGUACUCUAUGUCUAUAACACUAGCAUGGACUAGGACAAUCUACAAGACUAAAUCCUAAGUAUUCUAUCUAUAUUGUCAAAGCAUACAAUGAUUAUUGCAACUACACCUAGCAUCAUCAUAAGAAAAGGUUAUAUCUAUGCCUAGUGAUAUUACCAAGAAAGAUCAUGAAUAGGGCAAUCACUUCCCUGUAAUAAUGAUGCUCUACAAUCCUUAUACUCAGGAGGAGGACUACAAGGGACUCAACUUGAUUGUCACUCCCACGAUCUACCUCACGAUCCGGAUUAUAAGGGGUAGUCACGGAUAAAUACGAUCUAGGCACCUCGCCUACAAUAUCUAUCACUCACUGGCCCAAUGAGUAAGCGCUAUAUGAUCCUAUGCAUAAACAUAAUUCUGAACUUACUACGCUAAGCAUAUAAUCAAAGUAAACUAAUAACAAUAUAAUUGAGAACAUAAGCAAAUAGAAUAAAGUCAAUUUUGAUAUAAUCAAAUAUAUCAAAGUCAUAUUCAUAAUAGCAGGAACUAAUAUGAAUACUACAAUGAAGAAUAAGAAAUUACCUAGAACGAAGAUAGAUUCGGACUCCAAGCUAGGCUUGACUCCUUCUAGAUCUAUUCUUAUAUAGCUAUGCUAAAGAACUAUGGAGCUCUAAUUGAGAUGGUGGCUCUAGGCUUCUCUGAAUUCUCUUGAUGAUAUGAUAGAAUGAAUUCCUCCUCCUAGGGGGUCAGGAUUAUAUUUAGAGCCCUCUAGGAAGCUCCAUAGCCCUCGGAUCAAACUAACCGUUAUAGAUGGCCAAGAUUACUCCUCAAAGGUGGUGGAGGCAGGAUCCGUGAGUUUGGAACUGAUUGGUGCCAGUGAUCGGGCAGCCGCCCCUGUGUCUUUACUAGGUGGGCCCCACUUUGUAGGGUUGCCUUCUUGAGUCUUCUAGAGUAUCUUGAGUUACCGACGUGGUCUUCUCUCUAUGUAAUUCCGACACAUGGACCUCCUUUUAUUCUUAUUUCAAUAACCCCCUGUAGAAAUAGACAAUCACCAAAAUUCAUGGAAUUCUAUUAGUGUAAACCCCUAUAGCUAGAUGAUAUUCUGGUUUAAGUCCUUUCUCAUGUUAUUUUGAUGGUUAAAAACAAGACUUAUCUACCAUCAACAAACUCCCCCAAGCUUACAUUUUGCUCAUCCCUGAGUAAAGAUAGACUCAGUGAUGGAUCAGGAGUUACUACAAUGCUUUCACACCUCACAAGUACACAUACAUUCAAACAAGGACUCUCCUCUGGAUUAGAGUGAACUAUUCUAACUCAAGACUCACCCAUAUUACCUUUCACCAUGAGGCUUGUAGCCUUUACUUAGGUCUUGAGUAGUUGAAAGUUAGGACGGUUAAGUCGAGCGCUAUAUUUCUCGCCCUUCGAUAAACUAUUAUUCUAGAAUUUUCGCAAGAUUUUCAAAUAAAACUCAGAGUUUCCUUGUAUAACCCUUUCAAGUCUCUCAUUUGUGGUAUUUUUGGAUCCUCUCUAAGGAAAGUGUAAGGUAUGCCUUCACACUUCUCUCAGGAUAUGUGGUAUUUAUAUGGCUAAGGCAUAGUUGCCUUCUCUCUUUCACCUUACUUCUAAUAGGCUUAUGUGGAGCUUAUAGGCGGAAGAGACAAUUCAGACCUACUUGCAUAUAUUACAUAGUUAAACCAUAGAUCUAGAGAAACUAGUUAUACAAUCAAGUCAUAUGUGCAUGUGAGUGCAGCGGAUGAAUGAUAAGAAUGAUGGUGAUUAUGAGGGGUGAUGACUAAUGGUGAAAAUCUAAUUCUACAAUUGCUCCUUGGGGAUAACAUACCUCCCUAAUCUGAAAAUAAGGACUUGGCUACUUUACUUCUCUUUUGGGACUUUUGUCCUCUUUCUUUUCUUUUCUCUCUCUUUUUUUAAAGUCAGCCAAUCCUUUUUAAUGCACUAAUAGCAGUAGGGAGUAUAAACUGAAAUAACUAGAGCUUUAUUGAAUAAGUAGAAAAAGAUAUAAUGGCAAUGGAUAUUUUUGGGUGUCCUCUCCCAGUGUAGUAGUAGAACAUUUUAUGAGUGGAUGUAGGAUGUGUAUGGAUGGAUAAAUGCAUACUCCCUAGGUAGGAGUAGCUGUUGACACCAUUUUUGGCACAUGUCAAAAUGAUCAGAGUGGACUAAUCGGUAGAAGGAAGUUUAUUGUGGAAAAAGGAUGCCAAUGAAGAUUAGCCUAUGAGGACUGUUGCCGAUGAGUGGUGGCGAAUGAUGGAAGGGUUGUCAUUUGACUUAGACUCGGAGGCUUUGCCGAUAAGAUUGGAAAUGUCAUUGCCAAUGAAGGAAGGACUGAAGACUACUGCUGAUGAAGCUUAUGAUGAUGGGGAGCAUGCCGAUGGAGCAAAAGACGAUGGAGUUUCAUCGUAAUGAAGGCGGACAAGGAAGUAGAUAGGUGUCGUUUUCCUUUUUUGUAUUUGUUAGAGUAUGAUUCAUGUAAGAGUCAUAUUUUCCUUAGAUAUGAACUCGACGUCCUAGUCAUGUAGGGGAUGAGAUAUUUAUACCGCCAUAUAGGGGAUGAACCAAUCACCAAUAUAGAACAAACAAGCACCGGGAGAAUGCCAAUCAAACACAAUUGAGACACCAAUUUUUCUCCCGAGGUUCACGUGCUUGCUGGCACGCUAUGUCCCCAUUGUGUCGACCAACACUUGGUGGUUCAGCGGCUAAGAGGUGUAGCACGAAUCUUGUCCUCACUAGGACACCGCAAGAACCUACCCACAAGUGAGGUAGCUCAAUGACACGCGCAAUCCACUAGAGUUGCCUUUGGCUCUUCGCCAAGGUAGGCACAAAACCCCACACAAUCACCGGGAGAUGGCCACGAACAAUCACCAACUCAUGCCAAUGCUCCUCCACUGCUCCAAGCUAUCUAGGUGGCGGCAACCACCAAGAGUAACAAGAAAACUGCAGCCAAAUCUAUCCCCAAGUGCCACUAGAUGCAAUCACUCAAGCAAAUACACUUGGAAUCACUCCCAAUCUCAUAAAGAUGGUUAAUCUAUGAAGGAGAUGAGUGGGAGGAGUUUGCUUAGGCUCACAAGGAUGUCUAGUAGUCAAGAAUGCCAAGAGAGUGAGCCCCAAGCCGGCCAACACAUAUUUAUAAGCCCCUGUUGAUGGUUCUUAAGUAUCAAUUUUAAUCAUGAAAUAAAUAAAGAAAAGGACCAAUAUACAAACAACACCUAGAAUUAGGGUUUGACCUGACAGAAUUCCACGAGUUUUGCUGUUUAUCUAUUUCUGUAGGGGGUUAUCAGGAAAUAUGGAAGAAAGGCCCACACGUCGGGUUUACAUAGAGAUAUUAACUUGUGCGCCAAUUUUCCUCGGUCUAGAAGGUUCCAGAAGCCACACGAACGAGCGGGAGGCCGAGAGGGCCCACAGGCAGGGCGCCCGCCCUACCCCCCGGGCACCCACCCACCUAUGGUGGCCAAUCAGGUUGAAUCACACAGAUUAUGCUCCACCGCCUUUGAGGAUCAAGGAGAACCGUUCAAUCAAGGUCGGUAUGAUCUGACAGCCCAGAUUCAUUUGAAAGGGCUAUAUAAGCAAGGCCCCUGGCCCCUGGAGAGAUAGAAUCCCCAUUAUUCACUCGCAUAUUUUCCAGAGAGGAUUCAGAGAGAGAGGUUCCCUUAGGGUUCCAACCUCAUAGGGCUUAGCAUCCAAUGUGAGAGUAGAAUUAGUUCUACUAGAUUGAGAGAGAUAGAGUGGAGGUGUAGAUCGGAGGAAGCCCGGCCUGUCGGUGUCUACUCCGAGGUUGUACCUGCGGGAUCAAGUCUCUUAACCCGAGGCUUGCUCCUAGGAUUCUUUAGUAUUUUGACUUCUAAAUUCUAGUAAGUUCUUUGUUUUAUUGUUCUUUGAUUUAUGAGUUUACUUUGAUCUCUUUGCGUAGAGUUUAGAGUAAUUAUCUCUAGCAUAAACGUGGUGUUUGGGCUAGGAUACUCAUAGAUAUCCCCUGUCUAGCCGGACCGUGGUAGUAGCGAGGAACGUGACAUUUCCGAGUUACCUUUGUAGCCCAUAAUCCCGUUAGCAGGAUCGAUAGGGUCUAUAGGUGCGGGUCGAACAUUCUCUGUGGUGUCUAGAUUCCGUGAGCCUCCCCAACAGAACAGUAGAUCAUCCUUACCAAGGUUAGAACGAGGGUGCUGUUGAAGUCUUCUCUAUACAUCACUCACAUCGAAUCAUAGUGGUUGUAGCCUAAAGGUUAGUAGUAAUAGACCUGGUUAGGCAGAUGCACGCUUUCUCCUAGUGGUAAAAAUAUAAAUACGAUACUCUGGAUAACAUUCCGGGUGAAGUGCUCACCGAUAUCUGUGCGCUUGCGGAUUAAUUCUUGAUUGCGUUACCAGAUAUCAACAAGCAUUUCUAGCACCGUUGCCGGGGAGAAAGACGGUUUGCUGAGAUAACCUUGAGUCUUACUACUAACUUGUAUUCAUACUUUUAUCUUUUCUUAUCUUUUUAUAUUCUUUAUUUUCCUUACUCUUACCUUAUGGAAAACCAAGAUUCUAAAUCGAUCUAUCAAUUUGCAACACCUUCGAAAACUGAACUUUUACCAUGGGAGUCAUCACAGCCUAUCCAAACAUCUCAGUAUAGUUAAGUUCCAGGUUGAUUGCCAUGAUUCAAAACCUAUCUUUUUUAGGAAAGGAAGACGAAAACCCUUACCUUCAUAUUAGAGAUUUUGAGGAAACAUGUGAUUGUCUUCGCAUUGAAGGCAUUUAUGAUAAAACUUUACGUUGGAAGCUUUUUCCUUUUUCUUUAAGGGGAGAAGCUAGACGAUGGUAUAGUCAGAAGGUAAGUCAACAAUGAGGUGAAUGGGGAGUCUUACGAGCCAACUUUUGUCUAGAUUUCUAUUCCCUCGACCGUAUCAACGACUUUAGACUCGAAGUCCUAUCUUUUAAACAAAAAGAUAAUGAAACUUUGGGAAAAUCCUGGAAACAUUUUUCUAAUAUUUUAGAAUAUGGUCCAAACCUUAAUCUUGAAGACCCUAUUCUCUUAUUUCACUUUUUUUGAGGUCUUCAGAAAGAUCAAAAACAAAUGCUACAUACAAUGUCUAGAGGUUCUUUCUUUCGCAUCCCUACCGAUGACGCUAGAGCAAUCCUUGAUAGAAUCCUAGAAGCUGAGAUGGAUAAUACCCUUCAUGAUGAAACCUACGAAGCCGAAGUAGACACUCUGCCAAAUUCUCCAUCUACUUUAGCUAUCCCAAGUUCCGGGACGACUGCUCUACGCCGAUGGAGCAAAAGACGAUGGAGUUUCAUCGUAAUGAAGGCGGACAAGGAAGUAGAUAGGUGUCGUUUUCCUUUUUUGUAUUUGUUAGAGUAUGAUUCAUGUAAGAGUCAUAUUUUCCUUAGAUAUGAACUCGGCGUCCUAGUCAUGUUUGGUUAUGUUUCUUCGGAUCAGAGUAUAAAUAUGGAUCGAGGGACAAUGUAAAAUAUAUCAAUCAAUCAAUAUCAAAACCAAAUUUACUCCUAUUUUACAUCUAUUUACUUUUUGGCAACUUCAUCAAUUUGCAUAUUUUCUUUUUACGAGUUCUCAUCGAUUCGACGAGUUGCAUCGCUUCAGUGCGACCUUCCACGAUCCUCAGUUCUGUGUGAGUACCUCUUGGCCGUGGCUUCUGGGCGUAUCUUGUUGUCAAGACCAAAGUACUCGAGUUAUCACCCUUGUCGAUUAACAUGUCAAAUCGACUCGCACGCUUUGGUUAUUGAAUUGAGUAUUAGCUCUUUGUGUUUGCAGAUCUACUUUUGCAUCAACAGCAGCAUAGGUGUGUGUCUCUAGGAUAGAAACAACACGGAGUGUAGCGCCUAUAUGUGGGUGGUACUUCUAGGAACAGAAGUAGCACAUAGAGAAUUUGUUGUGGAUGUAAGUGGCUGCAUACUUCUAAGAAUAGAAGUAGCUAAGAUCAAUGGAUGGAGAGCACAUAGUAUUGACUUUAACUGCAUGACUAGUGCCUUAGGGUCAAUACAACUUAACUAACCUUAAUGCUUAUAGGAUGAAAUAUAAGUGGGAGGCUUUUCUAAUCUAGUAAGCAUGUGUAUUUGGCUGUGGUAGGAAGUUUGGAACUCUCGUCAUAAAGGAACGCAUCAUGUAGCAAUUUAAGAUUUUCAAAUUAAAUUCUCCAGAACUCUAGCGUCUCUAGGAGCAAGAUUGAUAGCAGCUCAAAAACCUUCCCAUAUCAUAUCCAUCAACUACCUAGAUUUGGAUCAAGCAUUCUCUACCCACAAGUUUCAGGCUUAGAGCAAAUCUUAAGUCUAAACAAUUGUUUCUAAAACUCGGGAGAAUACAAGGUUGAAAACUAGGUACUUGCAAGGAAUUACGGUAGAGCGACUAUUCAUCAUCUCCAUAUAAGAGUUUGUUUUAGAGGUUUAUUUUAGCAACAGAUUCAUUAAGAGCUCUCCUUAGCUAGCAAAACUAAUUAUGAAAGAUAAAUAAAAUUUUUAUUGGGUUUCUAAGGUUAUUCAUAUUUUUAGUUUUAUCUUAUCAUAACACACUUAGGAAUAAAUAGAUAAGUGAGGGAUACUUAGCUUGGUAUACGGGGGGUUGCUCUCCUCCAAGCUGGAUGUUGACAUGGUCCACUGAGGUUGUUGACAGGCAGUGAAGGCGUACUGAUCCUCCUGGAGUGUCAUGGGUAUUUGCUGUUGGAAACGGCGCCUGACUAAUGCGGAUAGUACUCUAAUAGGAGAUAAGAUGUCCUUCUGCGUGUUAGCUCUUCUUGAUCCUUUAAAGCCUAUGAAGCUCAAAUAGACAACAAAGCUUGUGGAAUUGAUUAAGCGUUAGUGACAAACCUCUAAGCUUUGGGUUCUAGAACUUUCUUAUACCCAUUUAUCUUUUAGCAAGAUCAAUAUAUAUAUUUUUAUGCUUUUUAUAUUUAUGAUAUGCAAACAGGAAAAUAACUAUGCUAAAAUUUAUUUUUAUGCCUCCAUAGUAGAUGAGUGUGUGAGCUGUUGUUCACACAUUAAAUACAUGAUGCUUAGUAUUUUUUUCUAAAUGCAAUGCAAGAGAUAUUUUUAUUUUCUUUUUCUAGUGCAAAAAUAAUAAAGUAAAGAUGCAACUAGUAAUGCAUUUAGGAAAAGUAAAUAUGCUAAAGGGAAAUGCAGAUAAAUACCAAAUUACCUCUUGGCAUGGCGUUUGGUGAUUUUAAGUCCUCCGAAGAGGACCUUCUUGUUCGCUCAAUGAUUGAGGGGUGCAUGAUAUGGCGCCACCGGUGCUAUAUCCUGUACAUGAUUUAAUUUGGAAUUUACCUUUAGUUUCCAUACUUGCCUUGUAGGUGAUGGUGACUUAGAGGAGAGAGUGUCUGGAAUCACUAUCUUUUCUUCUGCUUGUACCUCCUCUUUGAUGGUGUUCUUCUCAUCGGGAUAUCGAUCUUGGAAUCUUAAAAGCUCUCCUUCAUAGUCGGCCCAUCCGGCUAUAACGAUCAACUUCUUUUGGUGACGGGUACGCUGCCUUCUCCUUCACCUAUUCUUCCCGUCAUUAAUUAUAUAAUUAUUAUUGAAAUGAUGGCGUACCUUUUCUGAGGAGAAUUUGAAAUGGAUCUCUCAGGUUCCAAUGUAAAUGAUGGCCUUGGUAGUGUUGAGGAACGGUCUUCCUAGGAUGAUGGGUGGAUCACACUCAUCUUCACCCAUGUCGAUGACUAGCAAGUCAGUGGGGACGUAGUGGUCAUUAAUAUGGAUAGGGACAUCUUUGGCUAUCCCUUCCACAAAGCGAAAGGACUGGUCCACCAUCUGUAGCUGCACAUAGAUGGGGUCCAUAGGCAUAGUACCAUAUAGAAAUUCAUAAGUUACCUUAGCCAUAAUGUUGAUGCCUGAUCCGGUGUCACAAAUAGUGUUGUAGAAGUCACAUCUGUUGAUGGAGCAUAGAAUAGUCAGGACACCUGGGUCGUCCUUCUUGAUUAGAUGUGAAGACUUGAGCAGGUGGUCGUACUCCCUAUGGACUACUGAAAGGUCCUAAUAUGGCUAGAGGGGGGUGAAUAGCCUAUUUAAAAAUUCUAUAAACUCACUAGAACAAAAGGUUAGUAAAUAACAAAGCGAAGCUUUUUGCUCUAGCUCUAAUGGGGUGUUUGCAAGCCACCUAUCCAACAAUUCUAGUUGAUAUGAAUACUAGGCACACAAGAGCUAUGUCACUACAAGCUACCCUAGUGAACUAUGCUACACAAGACAAAGUAAGCAACAAAGCUAAAUACACUACUUUGUAGUAAGUAAAUGGAGAGGAUGAGAUAUUUAUACCGCCAUGUAGGGGAUGAACCAAUCACCAAUCUAGAACAAACAAGCACCGGGAGAAUGCCAAUCAAACACAAUUGAGACACCAAUUUUUCUCCUGAGGUUCACGUGCUUGCCGGCACGCUAUGUCCCCGUUGUGUCGACCAACACUUGGUGGUUUGGCGGCUAAGAGGUGUAGCACGAAUCUCGUCCUCACUAGGACACCGCAAGAACCUACCCACAAGUGAGGUAGCUCAAUGACACGCGCAAUCCACUAGAGUUGCCUUUGGCUCUUCGCCAAGGUAGGCACAAAACCCCACACAAUCACUGGGAGAUGGCCACGAACAAUCACCAACUCAUGCCAAUGCUCCUCCGCUGCUCCUUCACGGACAUAAAUUGAUGGUUUCCCAAGGACAAUCUUAGUGUCCUAAAAUAAGCACUGAUCAGAUCGUAACAUGAACUUUUAAUUAUUUGCAACAUUACCUGGAUAAGGAUAAUUGUAAAAAUAUUCCUUCGAGUAUUCUUGUCACUAACCUUUCCAGGAUUGGAAUAAGAAGAUCGGAUGAACGACAAGCAAGUACAAGGUAUGUCCAACCAAUCAUUAUGCAACACUGAAUUAAAUUCAUCCAAACUUGAAUUUUGCAAAACAAUUCAACCUUGGGGGAGUACUUUACAUAAAAAUAUUCUUUGCCAUGUUGCUAUGUUGGUUGUCCCUACCUUUGAGACAUGCUCAGUUUGUUAAAUACUAAUCACACUACUUCAUCUCCACUUGAGUAGAUCUCUAUAAAUGCUGUCAUGCUACCUUUGUCUAUUUACUAGCAAGUGUUGGUUUGGAAGUACUCGACAUACUUCCAUUGGCAUUUAAAUUAAGCAUGGUGCUUAGGUUAAAUAGCCUUCCUUAAUCUUAUUAGACAUGGAGUCUAGUUUGGUUACUAAACUAAAAACUGCUUGAGUAGAUAUUGGUAUAUUUUGUCAGACUAACCCCUGCAGGAAAACUUUCAAUAUCAACCUGGGAAGUCCUGAGAUAAACUCACAUUGGAGACAAAGAGGGAGACACAUCAAGUUUAAUAAUUUACACAAGGAAGAUGUAGCUCAUAAGAGAUGAUCCAUGGAGGGUACCACGAACACGAUGAACAACCGCUAAGAAAGGAAAGCUUCCACAAGGUGAUACUGUACCAUCACUCUUCAAGUAAGGUAACAUCUUAAGGUACUUGACUAUCACUUUUAUAAGCUUUUCCUUGGUUCUGGUGUUCAUAUGAAUAAAAGAGACAAAAAUGUAUGAUUUAUAACUUCAAAUUAACCAACCCAACUGAUUCAACAUGUUUAGUCCUUUAAUCCUUGUUCAUAGUACUACCUCCAUGAUCUCACACUCCUAAUCAUAUGAGCUAAAAUGUUACACAUUCAAUCUUUGAGAGAUAUAAAGAAAAAGACAUAUACAUAGAUAGAUUAUCUUUCCAUAAGGUUGAGCGAUCUGAUCUGACAAAUGUUAUAAGUACUACACUCAUGAACUUAUCAUCCAUCAACUUUGUCUUGCUCACUAUGCUUAAGGUUAGAGAAGAACAAAUACACUUUUGGUUCUGUUGGUGUUUUCCACCAACAGGACCCAUGCACUUGAUCUCUGCCUUGUCUCUAUGAGCAGGUACACUUCGAGCAAAACAUGGAGGAGUUUUAUAACUCUCAGACUCAACCAAGUGAAGGACCUGGAUCUACGAGCACAAACACACUGAGCAGGAUACUGCCAACGCCGCACUUCGAACUGCUGGGCAAACAAAGAACAUGGGUGACACCGUAUCAAGAGGUGCAGACAUUAAGGUCCGCACCUGAAUCAAAUGACGCACCUGAAGAAUGAACACGGUGAGAAGUCUUGUUCAGAAGACUUAAAACAUUGAACCCUCGCCGAAAGGUAAAAUCGGUAGUUAUCCAUAUUUAUCCUUUCUGCAUUCCCUUUUCCCUUUAAUUACUUACUUUCCUUAAAUAGCUUAUUAGUUAAUCAUACUAUCUUGAAAAGAAAAUAAAAAUGUUAAAAAUACUAAGCCCCAUGUAAGUAUGCUCGUAGCAUAAAACCCAUAAGUACAUUCACUGUAGUGGCGUAAAAAUAAAAUAAAUAUAUUCCUGUCCUAUAGAAAUGAAAAUAUAAAAAUAAAUUUAUGAUCCUACCAAAGAGAGUAACAUUUAUUGAGGAGGCUCAACAUGAUAAAAGCUAGAUAUUUAUGCUAACACUUAACUAGUUACACAAAGCUUUGUUGUCUAUUUGAGCUCCACAGAAUUCAAGGAUCAAAGAAGACUAGCAUACGGAGGACAUCCUAAUCGCUGUCAGGGUGCUGCCGACAUUCAAAUAUACCUCCGCCACCUGCUAGCUACAUCAGAAGAAAUUACGUCAAAUCCAGCUUGGGGGAGAGCACCCUCAUUUAUCCAGCUAAGUGUUUCUACUCGCAUUUAUACUUUAGUCAAAUAAUAAAAAGAUACAUAAUCAUAAAAACCCAAAUAAAGAUUUUGUGCUUAUAUAUAUAUAUAUAUAUAUAUAUAUAUAUAUAUCUUUUCUUAGUUUGCUAAAUAAAUAAAUAAAUAAAGUUUGCUAUGAACCCUCAUGAUAAGCUCUCACAUAGAAAUGAUGAAUAGUUGCUCUGCCAUGACUUGUUCUCAAAAUUGAAAUCUCUCUCAAGUUUAGGCAUGACUGUUAUGAAUUAAGAUUUGCUCUAAACCUGAACUUGUGGGAAGAGUACCUGAUCAAAAGUCUAAGUCAUUAACAAAUAUGAUAUGGGAAGGUUGAGCUGUUGUUUAUCUGUUCCUAGAGAUGCUAGAAUUCUAGAGAAUUUUAUCUUUUAAAAUCAUUAAAAUGUUGCAAGAUGAGUUCAUGUAUGAUGAGAGUUUAAAAUCCUACCACAGCCAUAUAUACAUGCUUAUUAGACUAUGAACCAUACAUUUAGUUUUUACUGCUUAUGAGCAUUGAGUGUGGUCAAGCUGUGUAGACCCUUAGGAGCUUGUCAUGCGGUUAAAAUCAAGAUUCACUUGCACGUUCACUCAUACAUGCUACUUCUACUCUUGAAGUACGCAUCCACAUACAUCCACUCAUUUCCAUCUCCAGAUUCACCCAAAAUGAUUCUACUCCUAUCCGGGAGAGAACAGCCAAAAACAUUAUCCUAUCCCUGUUAUUCCCCGUGAAAUAAAUGCUCGAUAUAUUUUGGUUACUACCACUUGCUACAUUAUUCUAGGAGGGUGAGUGCUCUGAAAAAAAAAGAAGAGAAAAAUACGAGGAAAUAAAAAGGGGCAAGUGCCCGAAACCUCGAAAGAAAAGAAAAAGUGAGACGAGAGGUAAAAAUAGACAAGUGUUCGACAGUAGAAUUAGGGGUACAAGAUACCCACCUAAGAGAAAAGAAAAAGAAAAUAUAGAACAUCUCAUUCCUCUCAAAAACCUUCAAAGUGCAAGAAAGGUAUGUAUCCCCUCAAAAGAGCAGAAGUAGAAUUAGACUUUCACCAUUAUUUUCACAAUCAUCACCAUACACCAUUCAUUCGCCACAUAUGCACAUCUUGAUUUGACUUAUUGACUUGUUUCUCUAGAUCCAUGGUUUGACUAUGCAAUAAAUGUCUUGUAAGUUUGUAUUAGCUGUCUCCCACCUAUGAGCUCCAGAUAUCAAAACCUUGUUAGAGUAGGGUGAGAGAGAAGGCAAUAUCAUUAUGCCUCGUACCAAAAACACCACAUACUUUGAGAGAAGGCACAUAUCAUCACUGCCUUGGUAAGGAUCUAGAAAUACCACAAAAGAGAGACUAGAGAGAGUCAUACAAGGAAUCUCUGAGUUUUAUUUUAAAAAUCUACAAAAACUCCAAAGCUAUAGUUGAUCAAAGAAUAAGAGACAUGGUGCUUGACUUGACCGUUCAAUCUUUUAACUGCUCAAGACACAAGUGAAGGUUGCAAGCCCCAUGGUGGAAGGUAAAAUGAGUAAGUUUUAAAUCUUAACAGUUUACCCUAAUCUAGAGAUGAGAUCUUGUUUAAACGCAUGUGUACCUUUAAGGCAUAAAACCACUACAGAAACUCUUGAGUCCAUCCUUGCUCAGGGACGAGCAAGAGGUAAGCUUGGGGGAGUUGUUGAUGGUCCUUAAGUACUAAAUAUAACCAUCACAUAAAUAAAGAAAAGGAUCCAAAUGCAACCAAAACCCAGACUUAGGGUUUUAUCUGACAAAAUUCCACGAGUUUUGGUGUUUGUCUAUUUCUGCAGGGGGUUAUCAGGAAAUAUGGAGGAAAGGCCCACAUGUCGGGUUUACAUAGAGAUAUGAAUGUGUCGCGCAAUUUUCUAUCAUCUAGAAGACUCCAGAAGCCACAGGAACAAACGGGAGGCCGAGCGGGCUCGGGGGCAGGGCGCCCGCCCUCCCCCCUUGGGCGCCCGCCCUGUCCCAGAGUCCAAUCAGGACUCUCUUCGGGGAUUAUGCUCCACCGACCUAAAGGUUCAAGAAUAACCGUUCAAUCAAUGUCGGUUUGAUCCGACGGCCCAGAUUCACUUGAGGGGACUAUAUAAGCAUACCCCCUGGCCCCUGGAGGAGGCACCCCCUUGAUCCCUAUUCAUUAUUCAUAGACAGAGCAAAAGCUAGGGUUUGGUGAUGAGAGCUCUCCUCUCAUCUCUAAACUAGAGUAUAUCUAGAUAGUAGCAAGAUGGAGAGCGAGGGAGGAUUAGAGGAGAGGCCGGCCUGUCGGUUCUUCCUCCGGUUGUACUUCGCCAUGAUCAAGCUCUAAUCAAGCUUGCUCAUGGGAUGACUCUAGUAAUCUACUUCUAAUUCAUUAUGCAAUUACUAACCAUGUAUGUUCUGGUUCACAACUCUUUUGAGUACUUCUAAUCUAUAGGACCCUAUAGGUUAGAGUUGUAGUAUAGGUGUAAGCGUGGUGCUUAGACCUAGAUUACUUGUGGAUAUCCCCUGUCUAGCUGGAUCAUGUGGUAGGCCGUGUAGGUGACAGUUACGUUGGUCCCCUGUAGUCCACCUCCUGUUAGUAGGACGGGUAGGGUUUAUCGGCCUAUGGAUAAGCAUGCUUUGUUGUGUAUUCUUAUCACGUGGUUUGUCCCAGACAUAGACAUACCCCUUUGAAGUAGAGAAACCAUAGUUAUCCUCUCUAUUCUACUACCAUCGCCCAUAUACUAGAUUGCUCUACUCUCUAUUCCCAUAUUAUCACCCAUUGUUAUCUUACCUUUAAUAUUGUUCUUAUUCAAUUCUAUCAUCUUUCCUAUUUACACUUAUCUAUCUAUCUUGGCUAAGUUAGAGCGUAGUUGGUUCUCCCGUUUCCCUGUGGAUACGAUAAAACCUUUAACCGGGUAAAAGCUACAACGGUAUCCGUGUACUUGCGGAUUAUCUGCGUGUGUAUAAAUACCAUAGUACACUCUAGUGCCAUGCUGGGGAUGACAACCUAGUAUUCAAGUGGUGUUAGCAAGUGUCAACACCGGCCAGCACAGAGCGACAGCUAGCAGCCAUGCCACCACGCCAGUGCAGCUCCACCCAAUCCUACUAUGCCCAACUAGUUCUCACCGCGCCGCCACAGCCCCUACUUCUCAAAGGGCCGUCAGCCAAGAAGGAGGCCACCGUCAAGGUGCCAGCCAGCACAAGGAUCCUGCCACCCAGGUCCAAUGAGCGGGUCGUUGGAGUCAAGACCAACCGGAGCGGCGAGAUCAGCAGCAUCCGCUACACUACGGAGGAGGAGAGGCCUUACUUCGAAGGGGUUAGAGCAGCCAAAGUUUGCUUCAUCCCUCCGAAGACAGCACCGAAGCACGCUCUCAACGCUCUCGAGACACCUCCUAAGCGCCACAAGAAUAUAGCAGAUGUUGAUGAGGACGUUCGUAGGCUAGACAAGGUCAUCAUAGAGCUCGAGUCCUCGGUUAACUCCAUCAAUAGGCAGCUCUCUAUCCAGAACACCGUUAUACUUGGUCUUAAGCAUGAUCUUGCUAGUGCUAAUAAGAAGAUUAGGGAGUUAGAGCAUCGCUAAGUUAUCUAGAUUAGAUCUUGAGGCAGUGCACUUUAGUUAUUCAUCUUUAGAUUUGGCUUAGAUCUAUUAUUAGCUUUAGUUCAUUAUUAGUCAGUUGUAAUAAAUGCCUCAAGAUUAAUAAAGAUUAUUAUUAUGUCUUGUAUGUCUCUACUUUAUUUUUUAUGCAAGUAAGCAGAAAACAAGUAUAGGGGAGAUCUCCCGACGUGCCAAACGCACUUUGACCACACCACUCCACGAUUCAGGUACAUACUUUGCACAUGUUAUACAUACACAUAUGUCUUGGUUCGUGCAGAAUAUUCUCUCUAACAUAAUAAAUUAAAAAGAAAAAAAAUAUUUCUAAUCAUGAUUAAUCUCACUUUGUGAUAUUUCCUGAAAACCUGCAAUUAUUGAAAAAUCAUAUUAAAACCCUGUGCUACUUAAAUCACUGUGGAAUUUGAGAUGGUAGAGUAUGAGUACCUUACUUAUGAUAUCAUUGUUGCUUGGAGAAUUUAUUUCAAAAUCUUCAAAAAUUCUAGCUACUAUCCUCAGUGUUUUAUGCCUGCUAAACCUGAAAAUAUUAAAUUAUAAAAGCUAUCUGCUCUGUAUUGAGUUUGUUCAAAACGAGUUAGACCAUUGUUGAGAGAUUUAUCAUACUCCUAGGAUCAAGAUAUUUAUUCAGAAAGAUUCACUCUUCUGAAGUAUUAUUGCGUUAGAGGCAUGGGCUAUGCAAAAAUAUGAAUAUUUCGAGGAAAUAAAAAGGAGCAAGUGCUCGACGACCUCGCAGAAAAAAAUGGACAAGUGUCCGACAGUAGAAUUAGGGGUACCUCGGUAUCCACCUAAAAAAAGAGAAAGAAGAAAAUGAUAGCCCAUGGUCCCUCUAAUAAGCAAUAUACCAGUAAGAGUUGACAAGUUUUUAAUUUCCAAAGUCUUUGAUCUAAGAGUAUGACAUUCCUCUCCUCGGAUCCUGUUUUGAUCAGGCAAUAAAUGCAAGGUAAGAUUGCUUGAGAAUUUCUGCAAAUUAAAACAGCCUCAGUGAGAUAUAAAGAUAAAUGAGCGAUCUGAGAGAACCUAUAAGGAUAAAGGUAUGCUAAAUUUCUUUUCAAAAAUAUACAAAAACACAAAGUGGCAGGAUAGAGAAGAAGAAAGGAUCUCUACUUUUGACCAUAUAUUUCCCUGACUACGGUACACAUUGGAUCUCUAUAACACCCUACAGGUAUAAAAAGAAUGCUUUACAAUGUUUUAAUCUUUGGAUAUUUUUCUAAACCAUCCUUUUCUCGAGGACGAGUAAAAGCCUAAGUAUGGGGGUAUUUCUUGAUGUUUCUUAAGUAUCAAUUUUAAUCAUGAAAUAAAUAAAGAAAAGGACCAAUAUACAAACAACACCUAGAAUUAGGGUUUCGAAUUCCACGAGUUUUGCUGUUUAUCUAUUUUUGCAGGGGGUUAUCAGGAAAUAUGGAAGAAUGGCCCACACGUCGAGUUUACAUAGAGAUAUUAACUUGUGCGCCAAUUUUCCUCGGUCUAGAAGGUUCCAGAAGCGACAUGAACGAGCGGGAGGUCGAGAGGGCCCACAGGUAGGGCGCCCGCCCUACCCCCCUGGGCGCCCGCCCACCUAUGGUGGCCAAUCAGGGUGAAUCACGCAGAUUAUGCUCCAUCGCCUUUGAGGAUCAAGGAGAACCGUUCAAUCAAGGUCGGUUUGAUCCGACGGCCCAGAUUCAUUUGAAAGGGCUAUAUAAGCAAGGCCCCUGGCCCCUGGAGAGAUUGAAUCCCCAUUAUUCAUUAGCAUAUUUUCCAGAGAGGAUUCAGAGAGAGAGGUUCCCUUAGGGUUCUAACCUCAUAGGGCUUAGCAUCCAAUGUGAGAGUAGAAUUAGUUCUACUAGAUUGAGAGAGAUAGAGUGGAGGUGUAGAUCGGAGGAAGCCCGGCCUAUCGGUGUCUACUCCGAGGUUGUACCUGCGGGAUCAAGUCUCCUAACCCGAGGCUUGCUCCUAGGAUUCUUCAGUAUUUCGACUUCUAAAUUCUAGUAAGUUCUUUGUUUUAUUGUUCUUUGGUUUAUAAGUUUACUUUGAUCUCUUCGCAUAGAGUUUAGAGUAAUCAUCUCUAGUGUAAAUGUCGUGCUUGGGCUAGGAUACUCAUAGAUAUCCCCUGUCUAGCUGGACCAUGGUAGUUGCAAGGAACGUGACAUUUCCGAGUUACCUUUGUAGCCCAUAAUCCCGUUAGCAGGAUCGAUAGGGUUUAUAGGUGCGGGUCGAACAUCCUCUGUGGUGUCUAGAUUCCGUGAGCCUUGUUGAUAUUUGGGAACGCAAUAAGGAAUUGAUCCGCAAGCGCACGGAUAUCGGUGAGCACUUCACCGGGGAAAUUAUCCAGAGUAUCGUAUUUAUUUUUUUACCACUAGGAGAAAGAGUGCAUCUGACUAACCGGUCUAUUACUAAUAACCUUUAGGCACAAAGAAUGUCUUUCGAUGUGAGUGAUAAAUAGAGAAGACUGCAACCGUAGUCUCCUUCUAACCUUGGUAAGGAUGAUCUACUGUUCUAAUGGGGAGGCUAACGGAAUCUAGACACCACAAAGGAUGUUCAACCCGCACCUAUAAACCCUAUCCUUCCUGCUAACGAGAUGUGAUCUACAAAGGUAGCUCGGAAUUGUCACGUUCCUCACUACUACCACGGUCCAGCUAGUCAGGGAAUAUCUAUGAGUACCCCAGCCUAAACACCACGUUUACGCCAGCAAUGAUUACUCUAAACUCUACGCAAAGAGAUUAAAGUAAACUCAUAAACCAUAAGAACAAUAAAACAAGAACUUACUAGAAUUUAGAAGUCGAAUUACUGAAGAAUCCUAGGAGCAAGCUUCGGGUUAGGAGAACUUGAUCCCGCAGGUACAAGCUUGGAGUAGACACCGACAGGCCGGGCUUCCUCCACUCUACACCUCCACUCUAUCUCUCUCAAUCUAGUAGAAACUAGAAGAUCUAUUUCUACCUUACAUUGGUUGCUAAGCCUAAAAAGAAAUAUUAAUUAGAGAAGAGGUUUUCCUUCGAGGGCACCCCUCAGUCUCUAUGAUAAUUUCUUCAUGUCUUCUCCAGGGGCCAGGGGGGCCUUGCUUAUAUAGUCCUCCCCUUCUAUGCGUUUUUGGGUCGAUAGGCGAGGUGGUACUAUGUUUUUCUUGAUCCAAUAGGUCGGUGGAAUAUCCCGAGCGAAGAGAGUCCUGAUCUGGCUCCAGAGGGGGGCAGGCGCCCUGGGCCUGGCCCCGUUUCGCCUCCGCUUCGGUCUCGUGGCUUCUGGAGUCUUCUAGAUGAUGUAAAAUCGCGCGGUGCGUUGAUAUCUCUAUGUAAUCCCGACAUGUGGGCUUUUCUUCCUUAUUUCCUGAUAACCCCCUGCAGAAAUAGAUAAACAACAAAACUCGUGGAAUUCUGUCAGAUCAAACCCUAAUUCUAGGUGUUGGUUGCAUAAUGGUCCUUUCUCUUGUUUAUUUGAUAAUUAAAAUUGAUACUUAAGAACCGUCAACAAAUACCCCCAUACUUAGGCUUUUACUCGUCCUCGAGAAAAGGAUGGUUAAAAAAAAUAUCUGGGGUAAACAUUUAAAAUGUUCUCUUUAUAAUUGCAGGGUGUUACAAAAUCCACUGUGUACCAUAGUCAAGGAUGUUUAUGGUCAAGAGUAAAGAUCCUUUCUUCUCAAUCUUAUCACUUGGAGUUUUUGUAUAUUUUUGAAAGAAAGUUAGCAUACCUUUUUAUCCUCAUAGGUUCUCUCAGAUCACUCAUUAUCUUUUAUAUAUAUCUUACUGAGGCAUGUUUUAUUUUGAAAAAAAUUCUCAAGCAUACUUACUUUGCAUUUAUUGCCUGAUCAAAACGGGAUCCGAGGAGGGGAAUGUCAUACUCUUAGAUCAAAGACUUUGGAAAUUAAAAUCUUUGUCAACUCUUGCUGGCAUAUUGCUUAUUAAAGGGACCAUGGGCUAUCAUCAUCUCUCUUUUCUUUUUUUUUAAGUGGAUACCGAGGUACCCCUAAUUCUACUGCCGGACACUUGUCCAUUUUUUCUGCGAGGUUGUCGAGCACUUGCUCUUUUUUAUUUCCUCGAAAUAUUUCUAUUUUUGCAUAGCCCAUGCCUCUAAUGCAAUAAUACUUCGGAAGAGUGAAUCUUUCUGAAAUAAUGUCUUGAUCUUGGGAGCAUGAUAAAUCUCUCAACAAGGGUCUAACUCAUUUUGAACAAACUCAAUACAGAGCAGAUAGCUUUUAUAAUCAUAAUUAAUAUUUUUAGUUUUAUCAGGCAUAUAAAACACUGAGGAUGGUAGCUAGAAUUUUGAAUAUUUUGAAAUAAAUUCUCCAAGUAACAAUGAAAUCAAGAAUAAGAAACUCAUACUAUACCAUCACAUAUUCCAUAUUGACUUAAGUAACACAGGGUUUUAAAAUGAUUUUAUAAUAAUUGUAAGUUUUUUUUUCAGGAAAUAUCACAGAUUGAGAUUAAUCAUGAUUAGAAAUAUUUUAAUCUUUUUAUCUUAUCAUGUCGGAAACAG
rnacentral:lncRNA from 1 species